GUGCUUGCUUUGGCAGCACAUAUACUGAGAAGAUUUGCAUGGCCCUUGUGCAAGAAUGACACCCAAAUUCUUGAAGCGUUUUGUAUUUUU
rnacentral:snRNA from 1 species